AUUGAACGCUGGCGGCAUGCCUUACACAUGCAAGUCGAACGGCAGCACGGGUGCUUGCACCUGUGGCGAGUGCGAACGGGUGAGUAAUACAUCGGAACGUACCUUAUCGUGGGGGAUAACGCAGCGAAAGCUGUGCUAAUACCGCAUACGCCCUGAGGGGGAAAGCGGGGGAUCGAAAGACCUCGCGCGAUUAGAGCGGCCGAUGCCUGAUUAGCUUGUUGGUGGGGUAAAAGCCCACCAAGGCGACGAUCAGUAGCUGGUCUGAGAGGACGAUCAGCCACACUGGGACUGAGACACGGCCCAGACUCCUACGGGAGGCAGCAGUGGGGAAUUUUGGACAAUGGGGGCAACCCUGAUCCAGCAAUGCCGCGUGAGUGAAGAAGGCCUUCGGGUUGUAAAGCUCUUUUGUCAGGGAAGAAACACCGGCUCUAACACAGUCCGGGAAUGACGGUACCUGAAGAAUAAGCACCGGCUAAC
rnacentral:rRNA from 1 species